UUCCUCAUGUUUUUGCGUAAGAACUCGAGUUUAGGCCCUGUGGUAGAGCAGAGUCUGGAUGAUUGCAGCUUGAUGACUCUGUUGCCGCUUUAACAGCAAGUAUAUAAAGAUGUGCGUGUUUGGUUGCAGGUAGCAAUUUCUGAUGCACAGGCAUGCAAACGAGGAUACAUAAAAUCUUGAAAGUGGUCGUGGGUGUUAAGUUGACUUAUCAGAAUAACGUCUUUCGCAAAUUAUGCCAUAAUAUUUUGCUCAUCAUAAAGCUCUUGGCUGGUGUACAUUUGGAUUGGCUUGGGUUGGGUAAUACAUGCUUCUUAUUGUUUACUUGAAAAAAAAUUUAGUGUGAAAUGAAAGAAAUAAAAAUAAAAGAACAAACA